GUUGCCAAUGAUGAGUUGCGAAAUUGCCUACAUUGUUUGACAAACAUCCCUGUGAUAAUAAUUGCAACUGCUGAGGCAUAC
rnacentral:snoRNA from 2 species